GAGCGGCAGCCAGGAAGAUGGGAGCCGGGGGCGUGCACCGCGCAGCCCGCGGGCCGUGCUGGACGCGGAGACCUCCGUUUGAAGUCCUUGAACCACCGGGGUGACUUGGUGUGAGCCUGCGAGCUCCUCAGAUGAGGAAAUGGCAGGUGGUCUUCACGUUUGGCCUUUCUUUUCCUGCCCUGCCUCUGAGAGGUAGGCCUGCUCGCCCUCCGUGCACUCCGCUCAGUGCUCUUUUGGGGUGAGCUUCCUUCCUUCGGGCACCUUUCUCUGCCUUCCUUCCAUGGUCAUGGAUGCAUCAGGCACCCAGCCCUAAGGGAAUUCCUCUCUCUCACGAGGCGUGACUCGUGCUGCCUCUUCCCUUCCAUCUGCUUUCCCCGUGGCCUUCCGCGGUGCAGUCCCCGAGACGACGCCAGCCCUCCCUCCCUCUCGCCUCCACUGUCACAGGAGAUUUCAUUGCUUCCUUCUCUCUUCUCACACUGGUCAUUUUGAAAUUAUAACUGUUACUUUCUUGGGCACUUUUCGUAAAAGGAUUUCAAAAGCUGGCCUCGUCUCCCCGGUAUUGUUAAGUGACUUUACGUUUCCCCGGCUCCUUGUCUCUUUUGCGUUGUCCAGAGGGGUCCGUUUCUCCAAUUUGGCUGUCCGCUCCUACGCUGUAACUGUAGGAAGCCUCCUCCAUUCUGAAAAUUUGAGCUUUUCUCUCCCAGCGUUGUAACAGCAGCACUGACUUUCUCAUCCUCUUUUUCUGACCCACUCCAGUCCUGGCUUUCACGUGCUGGCCGGAGCCCCGUGCUCUCGCGCUCUGCAUUCUCACCAGCGUCAGCGGGGGGGGGGACUUCUUCUGCACCCCCACUUCCUCCUCACUUUUCCCAUUUUUAGUGCUGCUGCCGGACUUCUGGUCCUGUAUCCUGACGGCUGGGGGCUCAGAUUGUUAGCCACAUUUGAGAACUCGAAUCUGCUCCUCAGCUGUUGCUGCUGGAUUUAUUUUUGUGAGCAUCCUAUCACCAGUCCAAGAAAAUAAACAAGUAUCUUAGACCUCUGACUCAACCAGAGUAAACAAUAAGAAUCUGUAGUCUCAAAGACAUUGUGUCUGUCGUAGGACAGCAGCUCCCCAGUGCCUUAAGUCAGAGGCUCAGUGACGUCAGGGAUCGGAGUUUCAUCCGGCUCCGCUUUGUCAUCUGCGGAUGUUCGCUUUUCCCUUCAGUGUGGGCGGGUAGGUAUCUCAGUGACAGGCAUCCCAUGUAGACACAGCAGGAACCACUGGGUAAGUCCUAUUCCCUUCCACGAUAUCUCUUUCGUCGGGGCCCAGAAUCCUUCCCAGAGGCCUCCCACAUUUUCUUAACAACUGCUGCUAGUGCCUAGAGCAGUCGCGACGUGGGGCUUGGGCUCUGCCUCCGCUGCCCAGACCCCUUGGGCCACAUCCUCAAGGGCUGCUGCACAAUAGAGGGGGAGAUGCCUUUGGGUGCGCAGUGAACGGUGUGUGUCAGAAUCCCACCUCUGGGACUCAGCGUGCUCUUCUGCCCACCUGUACGUCUUCAGAAAUGCCGAUGUUAACAUGCAAGGCCGUCACCCUUCCCAAAGUGGGGCAGUGCGUGUUCUCAUCCUACCCCUGAGCCCAGUUGCAAUCUAGGACCUUGGGAUGUGUGCAGUACCAUUGGACAGCCAGUUCACAGCUCCUGGCACUUCACUCCGAGAGGGUCUCCCUUCCUGGUGUCCUCCUUGGCCACAGAUGAGUUUCUGGUAAGCCAGGAACAACCACCAAAAAUUGUCUGGCGUAGUCUGUCGCCUGAGAAUUCCUCUCUCCUGGCCCCCAGUCUUAGUGGCUUGAGUUCAGCAAGCCUCUCUCAGGCACACACCAUGCCCUGAAGCGUCUCACCGCUGGUGGGAAAGAAGUGUUUAGCCCGAAGUCCGAAGGAAGUGGGAAGUUACUGACGAUCCUCCGCAGCCGUCUCAUAAUGACACGAGGUGUGCCAUCCAGGCCUGGACCUGCCGCCGCAUCCCUCUAACCCUGUAAUGCGUCACGCUUGCUGUCAUAUUGUUGCUCGGGCCUCGCUGGACCUUCCCGUUCUCUCUGCAUCUCCUGUCCCCUCCAGUGUCGUCUGCUCUAGGGCUAUCAAGGCAUCUCUUCUCGUUGGCAUGUAUUCCCUAGAUGAUGGCAUCUAGCAUGCCGCCUAACAACUUCUAUGCUCUUGACUCCUCUGCUGUUAGCACUGAACUUUGGUUUGACAUCCUGCGUGCUCUGUCCAUUUUGGUAUUUAGCUGAGAUCUUAGCCAUCAUAAGAUCUAAAAGCCCUUCAUUUUUUUCUCCAAACAUGUUUCUCUGCCAGUGUUUUCCAUCCAGAGAGGCGCACCACCUGUUUCUAAUGUCUAAAAUCCAGCACUUAUUAAAUCCCCCCGUUCUCUCAGCUCCCACAUCCGUCUCCACGAACAGUUUCUGGGUUCUCUCUCCAGAUAUGUUCCCAUGCGCUCAGCUCCAGAAGUACAGUCCAAGCCUCUGUCGUAGCACCUGCAUCACUGCAGCAGCUUUCUAAGCCAUGUCUCUGCCCUUUUCUUACUCAUUUUUUACUUAACAGCCAAUGUGAACUUUUGAAAGCACAGACAAACAGAUCUCCUCUAAUUAAAAUCCUCUGGGUAAGAUUAAAACUCUUUUGCCAUGGCCUUACCUUUACUUUUCCCACUCAGUGGGUUUUAGCGAUCUGGGCCUUUUUUCUGUUUCUUAGCCAGGACAAGUCGGGGUCUCUCCUCAGGAACUGUGUACUUUCACUUUCUCCUGUUUGGAGUGCUCAGUCCCUUAAUUUUCUUAUGGCUCCCUCGUUCUCAUUUUUUAAUGUCUCAUUGUACCUAACUGUCAUACGCUGGUUAUUCUGUACCUCGCAAACUCACUGUUUGAGAAAACUACAAUGAUAAAAUUCAGAUAUAAAAAAAUUGGCAUUGGCUUCUAAGUGUGGGCUAAAUAUUUGAAACUUCUAUUUUAAAAACCGUUUUGAUCACUGCUAAUUUGCUGCCCAUUUCCACAAUGGGGUCGGGUUUGGUUUCAGUUCCUCACUCCCAUGCAUUGAUCUCUGGCACAUGUGCACUUGGCCAGCAUUUCUUGGAACCAGUGUCCAAGGCCUGUUACCAAGAGGAAAAGACUCAUUACAUGGCAGUCUAAAGCUCUUUAAUUCCAUAGCUGGUCAA